GGAUGCGAUCAUACCAGCACUUAAGCACCGGAUCCCAUCAGAACUCCGAACUUAAGCGUGCUUGGGCGAGAGUAGUACUAGNN
rnacentral:rRNA from 1 species